rnacentral:tRNA from 1 species
CAACUAGUAGUUUAAUAAAAACAAUAGCAUUGGAAGCUAUUAUUCACAGAGUGCUAUUUGA